rnacentral:rRNA from 1 species
CAAUAGCGUAUAUUAAAGUUGUUGCAGUUAAAAAGCUCGUAGUUGGAUUUCUGAUCGAGACAUCAGGUCGAGUCCGAGAGGAUCAUGUACUUUGAUUUUGUUUUGAUCAUCCUUGGGGAGAGCAUUUCUGGCAUUCAGUUGUCGGGAUUGGGAUCCUCAUCGUUUACUGUGAAAAAAUUAGAGUGUUCAAAGCAGGCCUCGGCCUCUGAAUACAUUAGCAUGGAAUAAUAAGAUAGGACUUUGGUGGUCUAUUUUGUUGGUUUGCACGCCAAAGUAAUGAUUAAUAGGGAUAGUUGGGGGUAUUCGUAUUCAAUUGUCAGAGGUGAAAUUCUUGGAUUUAUGGAAGACGAACUACUGCGAAAGCAUUUACCAAGGAUGUUUUCAUUAA